rnacentral:rRNA from 1 species
UACAGAGGUCUCAAGCGUUGUUCGGAUUCAUUGGGCGUAAAGGGUGCGUAGGCGGCGCGGUAAGUCGGGUGUGAAAUUUCGGAGCUUAACUCCGAAACUGCAUUCGAUACUGCGGUGCUUGAGGACUGGAGAGGAGACUGGAAUUCAUGGUGUAGCAGUGAAAUGCGUAGAGAUCAUGAGGAAGACCAGUGGCGAAGGCGGGUCUCUGGACAGUUCCUGACACUGAGGCACGAAAGCUAGGGGAGCAAACAGG